rnacentral:lncRNA from 7 species
AUCGGAAACAUGAAAAAUACAAUUCUCUAGUUUAAGAGCAUUCCUUGAUCUUUAUCUAUUCUCUGAAAAAUUGAUCACUUUGAUGCAAAAUCUAUCAAAGACUUAAACUUUAACUGUAAACUCAUCAAAUUUUAAUAUUGUUAUCAUCCACGUUGGUCAGAAAAUAACAAUAUCAUAAUUAACUUUGAACAAAUAUCUUUCUUCUCUAAUUAAAUAGAGGUUAAACAUAAUCUCAAUUCUAUGAAUAACUGUGAGCGAAAACAAUAAAUAUUAUGUUUUUCCAGAAGCAUUUAUUUACUUUUCUAUUAUAUGAAGAUUAUAUCCAUGUUUCAAAAUUAAAUUCUCCCGUUGGUUCGAAUUUAAUAAUGAAACAAUAACUAUAAAUACGCAGCAGAAACUUUACUGAACAAUUUAUUCAGAAGCACAAAAUUUAUUAUAUAUUCUCUAAUCAAAUUAUCCCGUUGGUUCAAAUUUGAGUAGAGAUUAAACAUUCAUAAUUCAACAAAUAAUUGCUUCUGAAAAAAACAAAUAUAAAAACUAUAACAUUCUUUCUAUUUAACUUGGCCUAGAAACGGCUCAAAACAAGGCCUAUCUUGGCCCAUUAGGGUUAAACCCUAUUUUCUUUUCUUUCCUUUUCUUUCUUUUAUUUUCUUUUCCUUUUUUUGAUUUUAUGCGCAGGGCCAUCCCAUGCACCCGUGAGGAGCAUUGCAUCCGACCCUCCCCGUGGGGUUUUUUUCUUUUCCUUUUUUUCUUUAUCCAGCACGCCAUUCAUCAGUUUUCCUUUCGACGCAUCUUUUUCCUUCUCGUUUGCGCAACGGCCGCCGUAUCACCCGCCACUCGGGCGCGACGCGUGCGUGUGGCCAGCCGCGUCCUCUCCGCCGAGAAUAGGGAUGGCAAUGGGCACAGAUUACCCGCGUGCCCGCGGGCACAAACCCUAUAGGGUGCGGGUUUGGGUUUGGG